AGCACCCUUUUCACAAUUAGCUCCUGCUCUGAGCAGGGCAGGUGCUGGGCCUGAACUGUUCAUAAUAAUUCUUUGGCUGUGGCUGCUAAAGAAAGGU